CAAAUAAAAGAGGAAGAAAAGAAGAAAAAUAAUUAAUUCUUCUCUCUCUCUUCAUGCAUAUAUGCUGACACACAACCUUCUUUUUCUGCGUUUUCGUUCCUGUGCGUAGCCACAACCUUAAGUCGUCGCCACCGCUAAACCCUAGCUUUCAUAUCCGUCCUAUGAUGUCGCCUCUCUCUGACCUUAGUCACCGAUCGGAUCCCGUCGUUCGCUUAUCAUUCACUCAAUUUAUCAAACGUCCGCCCAGUCCACCACAGGUUUAUGUCUUUUCUUCUCCGCCAGAUUCGUUUGAUGCCCUUGGUUGUCUCAGACGUCCGCUCGCACUGUCAAAGCUCAUCUCCACUGCUCUUUUCCAGACGCCGCCACUACCUAAUCUCAUUGGAAUCUUGGGUUUUGGAUUGAAGUUUGGGAGCAUUUUUUGUUGCUGUCCAGCAAGUUUGGAUUUGGUUCUGGUUGACCAAUUACAUUGAGUUUUGGAACUGAUUUUGCACCAAGCCACAAUUUCAGUUUUGAUUUAAGGUUGCGUAUGGCAAAAGGAAGAUAAGCUUACUUGAGUUUGCUUUUGGGGCCAAAAUUACGAGG